rnacentral:rRNA from 1 species
GACGAACGCUGGCGGCGUGCCUAAUACAUGCAAGUCGAGCGGGCCUCCGGAGGUGCUUGCACCUCCGGACGGCCAGCGGCGGACGGGUGAGUAACACGUGGGCAACCUGCCUUUGAGGCCGGGAUAACACCGGGAAACCGGUGCUAAUACCGGAUACGUCCUCCUUCGCGCCUGCGAGAGGGGAGAAAGACGGUCUUUAAGGCCGUUGCGCAAAGCGGGGCGCGGGGCGCAUUAGCUGGUUGGGGGGGCAAGGGCCUACCAAGGCGACGAUGCGUUGCCGACCUGAGAGGGUGAUCGGCCACACUGGGACUGAGACACGGCCCAGACUCCUGCGGGAGGCAGCAGUAGGGAAUCAUCCGCAAUGGGCGAAAGCCUGACGGUGCAACGCCGCGUGAGUGAGGAAGGUUUUCGGAUCGUAAAGCUCUGUUGUGAGGGAAGAACAGCAUCCGGAGGAAAUGCCGGAGGUUUGCCGGUACCUCACCAGAAAGCCCCGGCUAACUACGUGCCAGCAGCCGCCGUAACAC